AUUGUGAUAUAAUUAGAUAAAUAUGAAUUAAGACAAAUUUUGGAAGAGAAUAGGAAAGUUACCUUUUUCUUUUAUUGAGUCAUUAUGGGAAAAUUAGGAUAAAGAGGGAAUGGGAAAAAUGGAAGAGCAUUAUGCUCUUGGGGCUGCCGAAUUAUAGAGAGAAGAGAGAGAGAGAGAGAGGGCGUGACCUAGAGAGAGAAGGAGAAGAAGAAAGAAAGGAAGAAGAAGAAGAAAAAAAAAGGGUUCAAGCUAGGGGUUUGAGCAAGGAGGUUAUUGGACUCUUGAUUGGAUUUGAUUCUUGAUUUUCUAUCAAGAAGAGGUAAGGGCAAGGAGAAGGUGAACCGACCAUGAGUAUGGAGAGCAUGACGCGACGCGUACAUGUCUGGUCUUCCUGGCUUCCAUGGCCAGGGGUAUUUUUGGAAGUUGUUUGUAAAGAACCCUAUUUUGUCGUUUAGCCGACCUUGAGUAUAUUUUGAGUUGUAAAUAUUUAUAAAAAAUAUUUUGGGAUCCCAAAUGUUAAAUGUUUUAUGAUUUUCAGUAAAUGAAAUUAUUCUCAAAGUUUAUGU